CACAUCUACGGGCCGGGAAACCAGCGCAGAAAAGGAGUAAGUUUAAUUGGUCGCCAGAUGAAACGGUCUUCUUACAUCAAAUUCAAGAAAAAAAUACGUAUAAUCAGAGGGUGUUAUGGGAAGAGUAUCACCCCUGAGGAUAAGAAGAGAGCGUGGACUGAAGUGGCAGAAGCUGUAACAAGUGCCUUCCCUGGGAGUGGACCCCGUACGCAGGAUGACUGUGAGAGGCGUUGGUACAACGUACAACAAAAAUCAAAGCCUCGCAUUGCCAAGUGCAAGAAUGAGCAGCGGCAGACUGAUACACACUUUAUCAGUAUUGCUAGAGACUAUCCCAGCACAUUGUUCAUUACUUGUGGAAAAGAUACCAUUAGCUGCUCCGGCAACAGCCACUGCUUCAAUAUCUGCUGGCCCUAUGACACCAGCCACUGCUUCAUCAUCUGCUGGCC